rnacentral:rRNA from 2 species
AAAUUGAAGAGUUUGAUCAUGGCUCAGAUUGAACGCUGGCGGCAGGCCUAACACAUGCAAGUCGAACGGUAACAGGAAGCAGCUUGCUGCUUCGCUGACGAGUGGCGGACGGGUGAGUAAUGUCUGGGAAACUGCCUGAUGGAGGGGGAUAACUACUGGAAACGGUAGCUAAUACCGCAUAAUGUCGCAAGACCAAAGAGGGGGACCUUCGGGCCUCUUGCCAUCGGAUGUGCCCAGAUGGGAUUAGCUAGUAGGUGGGGUAACGGCUCACCUAGGCGACGAUCCCUAGCUGGUCUGAGAGGAUGACCAG